rnacentral:lncRNA from 1 species
GCGCCUACUGCCCCGUAGGCAUCCCGGGGGACAAACGCUGGGUCGUCCUGAGUCGCUCCCACUCGCCAGGUCCCAUAACCUUGAAGACUGCCAGACUUCCCCAGCCGAAGCAUCGCACCCUGGUGCUCGAGAACUUGGUCGAAUUUUCUCCUCUGUCAGAGAAGAGACUGGCUGGCAGAGCAAGGGGUCUUGCUGUGUCCCUCGGGCUGGAGUGCAGUGGCACCAUCACAGUUCACUUGCAGCCUCGACCUCCCUGGGUUCAAGCCAUCCUCCUGCCUCAGCCUCCAGAGGAGCUGGACUACAGAUGACUUGGCGCAUCUGCUAGAGAAAAACAGCAAAUAGCACAUCUAAAAACAGCUUGGUGGUUUUUUGCAUCUUUAGAGAAAGCUGCUUUAGGAGGGUCUGCAGUAUAGACCUCCUGUAUCUGCAAGGUGACAGACGGAGGACCCCAAGCCGUGGGAACUGGUCACCUACUGUGGGGCCCAGGCCUCUCCCCACUGCAGGUCAAGCCCAUCUUGAAGCCACCACCUGCUUAGUGCUCAAGGUCACCGCUCUCAGCCUGGUCCAGGUGCUGAAGGAUCAUCUCGACACGAGGGGGCGCCAUCUCCUCACAUUGUGAGGAAGCCUCUGGCAUCGGGAUGAAUUUUGUUCUAGAGCUUUCCUUCUACAAACCUCGGUGUUGUUCUCGCUCACAUGCAAGAAAGAAUCGGAGUAUUGUGAGAUGGAGUCGCCUAAGCUGGAGUGCAGUGACAUGAUCUCGGCUCACUGUAACCUCUGUCUCCCGGAUUCAAGCAAUUCUCCUGCCUCAGCCUCUGGAGUAGCUGGGAUUACAGCUGGGUGCGGUGGCUCAGGACUGUAAUUCCAGCUACAUGAGAGGAUUGCCUGAGGCCAGGAGUUUGAGACCAGCCUGAACAACAUAAUAGACUGGGAGCUCCAUGAGGUCCGAGACAACCUGAAGACGCCCAGCUCAGCAGAGACUGGCUACGGCAAUCACUCAGUAACUAUUUGUUGAAUUGGACAUAAUAGAAGAGCUGAAGAAUUUUAAACAAGUCACCAUCAGUGCAGUGGAUUCCUCAAAGCAAACCUGGAAAUCUCGGCAUGAGUUGGAUUUAAGGCAGUACAUUUUCAGCUCCUGAAAAUUUGAACAGUUUCUCAAGAGAACAACUUGAAACAGAAAGGCAAGGAUGUAGAUGUGGUUGUAGAAGAUGAUGUCUGCGGCCACCAAACUGUCCACUGUGAAGACAAACCAUGCAUGUUUAGUAGGCAGUGGCUCCUCUUCCCUGUGGGGAGUCCCACUGCUUCCCUGGCCUGGGUGUUCUCUGCCGGUAGAUGUUAUUGACAAAAUAAGCAAAGUCCUCUGAUUCUGAGAAUUAGAGUUAAUGAUAGCUCUAGAUUGCCUCUGCCAUGCUAUUUAAAGUCCUGCUUUAUUGUCUGACAUGAGUUCGGCAUCUAUGAGGACUUGUCCAGUGCAAAGUACAAUCUCCACUGAAAGAUAUCACCAGCACAUCUUGUCACUGUGCUGUAGCAAGCUGGGCAGUACAAUGAUGUUGGCAGGAUCCUGUUUAGGUGGAGGAUGGCCACCUGGGCAUCAAGAAUCUUCUACCCUGAUUCCACAUUGACUCCCCAAAGUGGGCUUCAGACAGCUCUUUACUUACGUCUUCUGAUUAAAGCAGCAGACAGGGUCCCAGCUAGAGAAAAGUUCUGGGAGCAGGAGAGGUGUUGGUGGCUUUAAAACCAGGGGUGAAGAUUGAAUUAGGAGGUUAGGCAGGAGUAGGAUCAAAGACUUAGAAAAUGCUUGUUUCCUCCUAUUAUUCUUAUGAGAGCUGAUACGGGGCUUUCAGUUUUGGGGGAGAGCCUUGGAAGAGAAUGAGGGAAUUUAAUCAACUAGCGGGACCUUUCCAACUUACAUUUCCCAGUGUUUGUUGGAUGAUACGUUUGCCUAAUAAGUUAAAGCUUCCAAAAAUAGAAAGGAAAGCUUGGUGACACUAAGCUCUGGCAUGCUGUCAUCUUCUGGCUAGGGGUCUUGUGCUUCUGUUUUUCUAUUUCUGACCAAAGACAUAAAAUGUGUUGUGACCUCUCAGGUAAUGCUGUGGUAUCAUGUCCAAGCAGUAACUAACCAGAGUGGAGUUUUUACAGGUAAAAAAGUAUUGAAUAGCUCAGCAACAGGGAGGACUUAAUGAUAAAUUGCUUUUUCAGAAAAUGACAAGGGGACAGACACUUGCGGUUCUUCCAUUGAGAGCCUUAAGGAAGUUAAGCGAAGCCUCUGCUCACCCCUUCAAGUAACGAUGACCCAUCAGAUCGUGGUCAUAACCAGUAGCAUCUGAGGCACCCCUAAGCUCUCUGGGCCCCAGAUUCCUUGUUAAGUUAAAUGAGGUGACUUCCCAGUUUACCAUUCUAGGGGUUCCUGAGGAGUUAAAAAUGAAGGAGAAAAUGCAACAUGUACCAAGUGAGCAAGAGCUCAAGGCUUAUCUCUGGCACGAAAGUGACCGCUGUCCGUUAGAGAUGUGAUUGCCCUAGAUUUCCUUUAGGAAAUGCAAACAUUGAACUCUGGCCUUCAGGACCCAAGUCCCGGCUUGCAUCUAUUCUAUACACUUUCUGUUAUUUGUUAGGGCUCACAAGGAACAGUUAUUUAUCUUUUAUUUUCUAUUUUUUUUUUAGAGAUGGAGUCUCACUCUGUCUCCCAGGCUGGAGUGCAGUGGUGCCAUCUCAGCUCACUGCAACCUCCACCUCCCGGGUUCAAGCAAUUCUCCUGUCUCAGCCUCCUGAGUAGCUGGGACUACAGGCGUGUGCCAUCAUGCCCGGCUAAUUUUUAGUAUUUUUAGUAGAGGCAGGGUUUCACCAUAUUGGCCAGGCUGGUCUUGAACUCCUGAUCUCAAGUGAUCUACCCUCCUUGGCCUCCCAAACUGCUGGAAUUACAGAUGUGAGCGACCACACCUGGCCCAUUUGUUUUCUUUCAAACCCUUCUGUAAGACCAGUGCUUUAGGUGAACACGUGGACAGAACAAGAUCAUCACUAUUUUGCAAUAUGAAGACCAACUGCGCUGUGACCAGAAAAACAGAGGCAAAAUGUUGAGCUUAAUGAUACCUUUUUAUAAUUUGUAUUUGGUGUUUCUCAAUUUUCCAUUGGAUAGUUUGAGAGAUAAGUACAAGUCAAUGACAUGUUCUCUUUCGUACCCUAUUGUCUAAUCCUGCUAACACACACACACACACACACACACACACUGAUUACCUAAUUUAUCUGUUCCCCGAUUAUUACACUCUCAAUUGCUGCAGAGUCUCAGAAGCAGCAUGGUGUAACAGAAAGAAUAUGAGGCUUAGAAUCCAAAAGCCAGAGUGUGAAUUCCAGCUCCACUGACUUGCUGCGUGACUUGAAGCAAGUCAUUACGUGUCUCUGUUUACUCAUUUUAUGACUUUCCUAUUGCCUCUGUAAUAUAGCACCACAAACGUGUGGACUUAAAACAACAUGCAUUUAUUCUCUUAGCGUUCUGGAGGUCAGGAGUCUGACAUCAAUUUCGUUGGGCUAAAAUCAAGAUGUUGGUAGGACCAAGAUCCCCGUGGAGGCUCUGGGAGAACCCAUUUCCUUGCCUUUGCCAGCUUCUAAUGCUGCAUUCCUUGCAUUCCUUGAUUGUUGACCUCUUCCCCCAUCUUCAAAGCCAGCAGAACAGCACCUUGUUUCAUUGCCUUCUUUACUGUCAAAUCUCCCUCUGCCUUCUUCUUAUAAGAACACUUGUGGUUGCAUUUAGAAGCUGUGAUAAUCCAGAAUAAUAUCUUUAUCUCAAGAUCUUUGACUUGGUCUCUUCUGCAAAGUCUCUUUUGCCACAGAGGGAAAUAUUCACAGGUCCCAGGGGUCAGGCUGUGUACGUCUUUGGGGGACUUUAUUCUGCCUACCACACUCAUCUUUUUUUUUUUUUUUUUUGGAUGGAGUCUUGCUCUGUCACCCAGGCUGGAGUGCAGUGGCAUGAUCUCGGCUCACUGCAACUUCUGCCUCCCCAGUUCAAGCAAUUCUCCUGCCUCAACCUCCCAAGUAGCUGGAAUUACAGGCGCCUGCCACCACGCCCGGCUACUUUUUGUACUUUUAGUAGAGAUGGGGUUUCACUAUGUUGGCCUGGCUGGUCUUGAACUCCUGACCUCAGGUGAUUCCCCCACCUUGGCCUCCCAAAGUGCUGAGAUUACAGACGUGAGCCACCAUGCCCGGCCCCACACUCAUCUAUUAAGUAGAGCUAGGAAUUCCUAUCCUAAGGGACACAAAAAUGAAAAAAGAUAAAAUUUGUGAAGAGGCACAUAAUGAAAGCCCAUACAUGUCACUGAGUUCAGAGGAGGGUGGGUCUGACCUCCCAUUGGCUGGUCUCUGCCUGAUGGACAUCGUGAAGAAGAGAGCCAGGACUAGUGUGGCUGGGGGAUGUUCAGGGGCCAGAGUGGCUUCAGGUGCCAGCAGCCCUGGCCGAAGGAUGACUCCAGGAGCAAGGCUCAGAGCCGAGUGGAAGAAGCUUCAUAAACGCAACUGAGCCAAGCAUGAUGGGAUGUGCCUGUGGUUCCAGCUACUCAGGAGGCAGGUGGGAGGAUGGCUUGAGUCAGAAGUUCGAGGCUGCAGUGAGCUAUGAUCACACUACUGUACUCCAGCCUGGGUGACAGAAUGACACCCUGUCUCUAAAAAGAAAAGGCACCUGGAUGCUCAUGACCGAGAUGGGGUGGGGUGGGUGGGGUGGGACAGCCGCACUUUAUAACUUUGCUUUCAGCAUGAUGUGGAUUAGUGUCUCCCAUGUGGGAAAAUUAUGUUUACCACUUAGAGACCUGAUAGUGCUUGCUUACCCCAUAACGCUGGACGGUGGCAGGCUUAACUCCCCCAUCAAGGGCCUUAAUGUAUUUGGGGCCCUAGUCCUAGCAACAGCAGCAAAUCUCCUUUUUCUUUUCCUCGAGCUGGUUGUUCACCAGGCAGUUGGGAUGUUAAUGGGAAGAGAAGACACACACAAGUCCCUUGUUUUCAAUAAGGCAGUCUGGUCACGUCCUUAGCAGGUUAUUAAUCUUUUUCAAACCCCUCCUCUCCACCAAGUUUUAUGAUCCUGGGAAGGAGAUUCCUACCUAGCAUCCUUAGAGUUAUCGGGGGUUAGGAUCGGUGCAUGCAGUCACUUCCGUGGAAUCAUCAGUAGCCCUCCAGCCUCUGGGGAGAGCUGCCAGUGGUCAGAGAUGUUGGGAAUUACGAGGGAGGAGCUAGGGAGAAGGAACUCACAGUCCCUCAGUCUCUGAAGGUGGCUCCUGGCAGGAGAGGGGGCCAGUCCUAGAUAAGAGCUCUCCCAGGGAAUUCCAAGGGUCCUCCCAAGGUCCAGCCACAAGAUGAGGAAUUACUGUUGGGCUCUUCCUCAGAUGUGCCUGUGAAUUCAUAUCACAGAUGCUUGAUGCAUUUGACAAUUGUUUAAUUGCUUGAGCCCAACUGAUACUCUUUCAGUCACUUUAAGGGAGUGAUUUCAAGUAUGAUCAUUGCCUCAAAUCUGUAUGGCUUUCCUUGCCUUUCAGGUGCUUUAAGAGGGCUUAUGUUCUUUGACUCCCCUAGUAACUCAAAAGGGUGGCUAAGAUGCAACUCUGGAGGUUUCCAAGCUCUCUGCAAAGCCUGCCUUCAGUAGUCUGUGCACCACAAGAAGCAUAACUUUAUUAUCCUCUAGCUGAAUUUACCUCCUGCUUCGAGCCCCUGUUUUCCCAUGUCAUUUUAGGGGUCCAAUGUUUUUCCUGGAGGCAUAUACACACACACACACACACACACACACACACACACACACACACACACACACACAUAUAUACACACACACAUUCCAGGGGCCUCUGAGGUGCCAAGACAUGUGUGGGGUCCAUCUGGUUCACACUGAUGUCCAUGAUCAUUGAGUUCAUUUUUUAUAUCAACUAUGUGACACUUCCUAUAGUUUCCAGUUCCUGGUUAGAAUUUGCAAAGUUGCCGACUAUUUCUUUGAAUAGAGUAGCUAGAUCAUGGGUCUACACCAGUCAUCAAGCAGCGAUUUCCCUGUUGGAAGCUCCAAGCAAAUUGUCAGCUCCAGCAUUCCACACAGCUGUGGGUGCCACACUCCUUUUCCUUUUAAAAGAUGAUGAUCUGCUAGUGGUGAAUGCUCUUGGAGUUUUAUUUGUAGGUUUUUCUUGUUGUCGCAAAUGUCUAUAUUUCAUCUUCCCUCUUGAGGGAUAUUUUCCAUGGGUAGAGGAUCUAGGCUUUUCUUUUGGAUUCCAUUGUGGCUUUAAAAAAAAGUCAGUUGACUGUUUAUUUAUGGCUUCUCUAAAGGUGAUCUCUUUCUUCCUAAGGCUGCUUUAAAAGUUUCCGUUCCCUCCCUCCCUUCCUCCCACCCCAUCCCCCUUCUUCCUUUCCUUCCUCCCUCCCUUCCUCCCUUCUCUUCCUCCCUUUCUCCCUUGUCUUCCUCCUUUUCUCCCAUCCUCCCUUCCUCCCUCUUUCCUUCUUUUUUCCCUUCCUCCCGCCCUCCUUCCUUCUUCCAUCAUUAUAUAUUAAAAUAUUUUCUUUCUUUCUUUUUUUUUUUUGAGAUGGAGUUUCGCUCUUGUUGCCCAGGCUGGAGUGCAACGGUGUGAUCUUGGCUUACUGCAACCUCCACCUCCCUGGUUCAAGCGAUUCACCUGCCUCAGCCUCCCUAGUAGCUGGGAUUACAGGUGCCCGCCACCACACCCAGCUAAUUUUUGUAAUUGUAGUAGAGAUGGGGUUUCACCAUGUGGGCCAGGCUGGUCUUGAACUCCUGAACUCAGGUAAUCCACCCGCCUUGUCCUCCCAAAGUGCUGGAAUUACAGGCAUGAGCCACCACUCCCAGCCUAUUAAAAUAUUUUCUUCUGGGCCUUCCCUCCUUUUACUUCUUUUGAUACCGCCAUCAAAUGCAUGUUAGGUUGACUCACUGUGUACUCUAUUACCCUCUCAUCUGGUUUUUAAUCUUUCUGUCUCCUUAUACUGUAAUCUCAGUGUUUCUUCUGCUUUAAUUUUGGUAUAUGAAUUAUUCAGCUGUGUUCAAAGUGUGGUUAAAGCGACUUAUAUGCUCUUUAAUUUUUAGUUAUUGUACUUUUCACCUCUAGAAGUUCUUCUGUGACACUUCUUAUAGUUUCCAGUUCCUGGUUAGAAUUUGCAAACUUGUUGACUAUUUCUUUGAAAAGAGUAGCUAGAAUUGUUUUAGUCUGUGUAUAGUGAGUUGAAUAUCUGAAACCUCUGUGAGUCUGUUUCUUUUGUCUGCUAGCCCUACUCAUGGCGUCAUGUUUUCCUGGAUGUUUAGUUGGUUGUCUUUGAAUAUGUCCAACUCCAGUUAUUUCUGGGAAUACCCAAAGGCACACCUGUUCACUAUCACCCAGUGAACUGCCAUGUGUUUGUCUCCUGUCAUGGUAACAUUUGCAUUCAGGGAGAGGCCUCUGCUCUCUGCAGAACAGUGUGAAAUCACCUCAUUUUUGCCUUCAAUGAAGGUUGUCUCUUGCUGGUCACCACCACUUCCUCAAAUGACUAAUGCCACUCUUGCUCACAGUGCUAAGGCGCUAAGGAGUUUUCAGAGGGCUAGAGUGAUUCUGCAUCCUCUGGGGUUCUCAGGAAACGAGGCCACAGGGCCAUCUGUGCAUGAGUGACAGUGGGGUGGGGUGGAUGAGCAGUGGCAGUGGUGGGCACCUAUGCUGCUGGCGCCACAGCUUUUUAUAUCUUGGUGAAAACAACGCCUUGCGUUUUCACUUGUAGAUUCUCCGGCUACAUUCCACAAGAACAAAUUCUGGUCACAGAGGCCAGAGUAGACUAUCAGUGUAAUGGCCCUUCCCCUUUGAUGAUAGCAGCUUUUUUCGGGGGAGCAGGGGUGGCCAAACUUCCUAGCCUUAUUUUAUCUUCCUUUCUAGUUCUCCCCAGAGGCUGCUGGGUCCACCUCUCCCUCUGCCAGACAGACAGGCUCAGACAUGCAAGAACGGAAGGGGGUGUGGGGGUUGGUGGGAGGAUUAAGUUGGGGAAAGCCAGUCUUGUCUUUGUAGAUUACCAGAACUGACACACGUACACACACGUACACUCACUCACUCACUCACUCAUCUAUUCAUCUAUUUUUGGCCUAAGUGCCUUUGGACACUUCUUCGGAAAAGCACAUGAACUCUUCGGAGUCUCCUGUUCCACUUGGUAAAUUUCCUAUAGCCACGCACUGAAAGUCCCUGCUGCCCUCCUUCCUCUGAGCUUGUGGGGCCCACAGAUCCCCUGCUCCACUUCCUGCUUCAUUUCAGCUGAUGGUGAGUCCAGGGCAGGCUUGUAGGAAGGGCGGGCUAGGCGUGGGGAACUGCAGCACCCACCCCACCCCCCGCCCCAGUGCUUGUUGCCCCAGCCUCUGUCUCCCUCGCUGUGCCCUUCCCUUAAGCCCCACUCUUGGCCUCCCCAAAGACAGAGUUUGUUCUGUUUUUAUUGAUAGGAUGACACUCCCUCGUUCUAAUACCAUCUGAAUGCCUGAGCAAUUACAUCUUACAACCUCAUGAAAAACACAGCAGCUUGUCACGAUGAAUGAUGUUACCGUGAAUAAUGCAGUUUUGAGUUCAAACUCCUUCUUAUUCCAAGAAUGAGUAAAUAUCCCUAUUCCCUCCCCUCCCCAUUGCAUUUGGGUUUGACAUGACAUGAAUCAUUGUGGUUUUACUCCUGGGUAGAAUUGUUUUUCUGUAUUGCAUUGCCAAUUGAUGGAAGGACAAAAAAAGGAAACUUACCAAUGAGCAGUUUCAGAUGAACUUAAAUUCUCAGAAAUCUUGAAGAAUGAAUGAACUAUAACUUUCUGAAGUUGCAAAAAUGUUCAAGUCGGAAGUGACCCAUGGGAAGCAACCUGGUCCUUAAUUAGGACUGGAAAGAAAACGGAGGCCCAGCGAGGGAACAGUGGCUUCCCCAAGGUCACACUGCAAGUGAGUGGUGGCACUAGUCACCCAGGAGUCCUCCUGACUCCAUGGUAUCCUGACCCCAGACCAGCAGCCUUAUUUGUGGUUAAAGAACGUGGAAAAACAGCUUAUGUUUGAAUUUUAAAAUCAUGCCAGUACUAAAGAUCUGCAUUCCAUGAAUAUUGAGCUUUGCUGUGUGCGGGUUGCUACGAAUUUUGUAACUAUUUUCUCUAAGAGCUCUCAGUAUUUUACAUAUACAAUUCCAUUCUUUAUUGUCCAGGGAAAAAGUUGCAUUUACUGAGCAGUAAGAGGGUGAUUUGAAGUCCCUGGGGUCCCCCACCCUUGUCUUUCUAUGUGAGAUUGUAUUGCAGGGCUCACAUUUAUUCUCUCAGCAGCUCAUUGCACAGACAGUGUAUUUAUUGAGCACCUACUGUGUGCCAGGAGCUAUGUGGUAAGCUAAGCAGACAAAAACUCCUGCUCUCACAAGAAGAAAGAAUAAACAAGCAGACAAUUGCACCUAUAAUGUCAGCCUGGUGUGAUGGCUCACUCCUGGAAUCCUAGCACUUUGGGAGGUGACGAUGGGAGGAUUGCUUUAACUCGGGAGUUCAAGAUAAGCCUGGGCAACCAAGACCCUGUCUCUACAAAAAAAUCAAAAAAUUAGCUGGGGGUGAUGGCAUGAGUCUCUGGUCCCUCGGGACCAGAGGCCUCGGGAGGCUGAGGCGGGUUUAUCACUUGAGCCUGGGAGGUUGAGGCUGCAGUGAGCUGUGAUCACACCACUGCACUCCAGCCUGGGCCACAGAGCGAGACCCUGUCUCUAAAUAAACAAACAACCUAAUGUCAAGUUAGGAAGUGUGGCAAAAAGGAACAAAGUCAGGGUGACUGCCAUUCUAGAAAGGGUGGUGAGGGAAGGUCUCCUUGAGCAGAUCCUGUGGGAGUGGAAGGGUAAGUCACGAGACUCUCUGGAGGAAGAAGAUUCCAGGUGGAAAUGCCUUAGUGGGUGUUAAACGCUUUAACGGGUGUUAGCCAGAAAGCCAGAAUGGCUGGAGCUGAGGGAGUAGAGGAGGCGGCAUAGAAAAUGAGGUCAGAGAUGGAGGCAGGGCCGGAUCACAGAGGGGCACAGAGAACGAGGAGGGAAUUGGAUUUUUGGAAAAGAUUGUGGCAAAAUACAAAAUAUAAAAUACAAAAAUAAAAUAUAAACCAUAAAAUGUACUACCUUUACCAUUUUAAGUAUGCAGUUCAGUAGUGUUAAAUACAUUUACAUCAUUGUUCAACCCGUCUCCAGAACUCUCUGCAUCUUGCAAAAUUAAAACUCUAUGCCAUUUCAACAGUUCGCAUUUCCUCUUCCCUCUCGUUCAUGGCAACCGCCAUUUUUCUUUCUGUCUCUGUAAAUGUUAGUACUUGGGGUAUCUCAUCUAAGUGGAAUCACACAGUGUGUGUCCUUUUGUGACAGACUUAUUUCACUUUGCAUAAUGUCCUUAAUAUUCAUCCAUGUUGUAGCAUGUGUCAGAUUUUCCUUCCUUCUUAACAUUGUGUAAUAUUCCAUUGUACGCAUAGACUACAUUUAGCUUAUCUGUUCACCUGUGGAUGGACACUUGGGUUGCUAUAGUGAAUAAUAUUGCUGUAAAUAUGGGUAUACGAUUAUCUCUUUGUGACCCUGCUUUUAAUUGUUUUGGAUAUAUACCCAGAAAUGGAAUUACUGAAUCAUGUGGAGAUUCUGUUUUUGAUUUAUUUAUUUAUUUUUAAUUUUUGAGAUGGAGUCUCGUUCUGUCACCCAGGCUGGAGUGCAGUGACACGAUCUCUGCUCACUGCAACCUCUGCCUCCUUGCACCAUUAAUUCUGAAAAUGCAGGCCUGGAUCCAACCGCCUUUGGGGACGGGUACCUGCCCACAGGAAGAGGUUGAGGAGACAAUAAUGUCACGAGAAUCAUCAUCUUUGACUGGGAAAUGGUGUGCAGAGUUUCUGGUGCCUUCUGAAGUGAUUGUCGCAUCUCAGCCUCCCUAGUAGCUGGGAUUACAGGCAUUUGCCACCAAGCCCGGCUAAUUUUUGUAUUUUUAGUAGAGACGGGGUUUCAUCAUGUUGGCCAGGCUGGUCUCAAACUCCUGACCUCAGGUGAUCCACCUGCCUCAGCCUCCCAAAGUGCUGGGAUUAUAGGUGUGAGCCAUGCACCUGGCCUGAUUGGUUAUUUAAAUUCUGAGAUGGGGUAUACUAAUGUUUGAAAACCACAGGGAUGGGAUAGGUAUAGGUGGGGAGGGAGAGCAAAAGUGGUAUUUAGAAUAUGUUACGUUUGAAAAACCUAAUACACAUUCUACAUCCAAGUGGACAUAGAUGGAGUUAUUUGA